rnacentral:piRNA from 1 species
UAAAAAGCAAAGGGAAUUACAACACAGAA